AGGGGAGCCGUAGGGAAACCGAGUCUUAAUAGGGCGUCUAGUUGCAGGGUAUAGACCCGAAACCGAGUGAUCUAUCCAUGAGCAGGUUGAAAGUGACGUAACAGUUACCGGAGGACCGAACCCACUGUCGUUGAAAAGCCAGGGGAUGACUUGUGGAUAGGGGUGAAAGGCUAAUCAAACUCGGUGAUAGCUGGUUCUCCCCGAAAGCUAUUUAGGUAGCGCCUCGGACGAACACCAUUGGGGGUAGAGCACUGUUUCGGCUAGGGGGUCAUCCCGACUUACCAAACCGAUGCAAACUCCGAAUACCGAUGAGUGAUAUCCGGGAGACAGACGGCGGGUGCUAACGUCCGUCGUCAAGAGGGAAACAACCCAGACCGCCAGCUAAGGCCCCAAAUUCCUAGUUAAGUGGGAAACGAUGUGGGAAGGCACAGACAGCUAGGAGGUUGGCUUA
rnacentral:rRNA from 1 species